AGUGAACGCUGGCGGUAGGCCUAACACAUGCAAGUCGAACGGCAGCACAGUAAGAGCUUGCUCUUACGGGUGGCGAGUGGCGGACGGGUGCGGAAUACAUCGGAAUCUACUUUUUCGUGGGGGAUAACGUAGGGAAACUUACGCUAAUACCGCAUACGACCUACGGGUGGAAGCAGGGGAUCUUCGGACCUUGCGCGAUUGAAUGAGCCGAUGUCGGAUUAGCUAGUUGGCGGGGUAAAGGCCCACCAAGGCGACGAUCCGUAGCUGGUCUGAGAGGAUGAUCAGCCACACUGGAACUGAGACACGGUCCAGACUCCUACGGGAGGCAGCAGUGGGGAAUAUUGGACAAUGGGCGCAAGCCUGAUCCAGCCAUACCGCGUGGGUGAAGAAGGCCUUCGGGUUGUAAAGCCCUUUUGUUGGGAAAGAAAAGCAGCAGGUUAAUACCCCGCUGUUCUGACGGUACCCAAAGAAUAAGCACCGGCUAACUUCGUG
rnacentral:rRNA from 1 species